CUUGAGUGAAGAACAGAAGGUGGAGCUAGCCAUUAGCUAACCAUUAGAGGUCUGGAGGUCUAUACAGACAACGGACAGGAAGUGAUACGGCUGGGUGGAGACAGGAGCUCAGCCCCUCUUCGGUCUGAGGAUUCUGUACAGAACAAAACAAAACAAGACGACCACAUGAGGACAUCUGCUUUGAGAUCAACGGGCAGCAGAAGAACAGGCCUCUGCAAAUGACUUACGGUUUUUCUUGGACUGCUGAGCAGCUGUCCACAGCUCUGUUAAGUUAAUUUUGGGGACAUUCUAGAAAAACAAAAAUAAUUUCGAAAAUAACAUAUAAUAAAAAUAAAACAAUUGUA